rnacentral:sRNA from 1 species
UGCAAACUACAACGUUCCUAACGCUCAC